CGGCGGAUACCUCUAGAGCUCCGGAGCCGACGCUGCUGAGCGACGGCCGGCCAGUGCCCGAGGGUGCCGCGGAACAGUGGAAAGAGAGUUACGGUGUUAUGGUGAUCAGCCGCAUAAACUGCGCUCUAGAUGGCCUUAAAGGGUGAAAAAACCUGUCUUCGUAGUUGCCAGUGAUGAUGGAGCAGUGUCUCACCGAUGGAGGAGUCGUGGGAUGGCUCGUAAACGUGCGGGCGCCAGGGACGCUUUGGAGGGACUAGGAAGAUGAAAUCAAAAGGAAAAAAGGAGAAAGAUCCCCCCUGCAAAUCCAGAUCCCCCCUGCAAAUCCAUGCACCGGUUCAUCUGCUCGGCUGCUGCUGCUUGACAGAGAAAAAGCAGAAUUCGUACCGGCUCCUGAGACUCCCCGCUGAAGAACCCGGCCCU